ACCAAAGCGACGAUCAGUAGCCGGUCUGAGAGGACGAACGGCCACAUUGGGACUGAGACACGGCCCAAACUCCUACGGGAGGCAGCAGUGGGGAAUAUUGCACAAUGGGCGGAAGCCUGAUGCAGCGACGCCGCGUGAAGGAUGAAGGCUUUCGGGUUGUAAACUUCUAUCGAUGGGGACGAAAGAAAUGACGGUACCCAAGUAAGAAGCCCCGGCUAACUACGUGCCAGCAGCCGCGGUAAUACGUAGGGGGCAAGCGUUAUCCGGAAUUACUGGGCGUAAAGGGUGAGUAGGCGGCUGUACAAGUCACAUGUGGAAGGCCUUGGCUUAACCAAGGUAUUGCAUGAGAAACUGUAUGGCUAGAGUGCAGGAGAGGUAAGCGGAAUUCCCAGUGUAGCGGUGAAAUGCGUAGAUAUUGGGAAGAACACCAGUGGCGAAGGCGGCUUACUGGACUGCAACUGACGCUGAUCCACGAAAGCGUGGGGAGCAAACAGGAUUAGAUACCCUGGUAGUCCACGCUGUAAACGAUGAGCGCUAGGUGUCGGGGGGAGACCUUCGGUGCCGGAGCAAACGCAAUAAGCGCUCCGCCUGGGGAGUACGUACGCAAGUAUGAAACUCAAAGGAAUUGACGGGGGCCCGCACAAGCGGUGGAGCAUGUGGUUUAAUUCGAUGCAACGCGAAGAACCUUACCAAGAUUUGACAUGGAGACGACCGCCUUAGAGAUAAGGCUUCCCUUCGGGGCGUCUCACACAGGUGGUGCAUGGUUGUCGUCAGCUCGUGUCGUGAGAUGUUGGGUUAAGUCCCGCAACGAGCGCAACCCUUAUCUUUAGUAGCCAUCAUUAAGUUGGGCACUCUAAAGAGACUGCCGUGGAUAACACGGAGGAAGGCGGGGAUGAGGUCAAAUCAUCAUGCCCUUUAUGUCUUGGGCAACACACGUGCUACAAUGGCUGCAACAAAGUGAGGCAAGCGCGCGAGCGCAAGCAAAACACAAAAAAGCAGUCUCAGUUCGGAUUGCAGUCUGCAACUCGACUGCAUGAAGCUGGAAUCGCUAGUAAUCGCGGAUCAGCAUGUCGCGGUGAAUACGUUCCCGGGCCUUGUACACACCGCCCGUCACACCAUGGGAGUCGGAAGCGCCCGAAAACGGUGGCCGAACGAGAUCAGAACCGAGAGACCAGAACCAAGAACCCAGAUAGUUACUCUUAAAGGUAAUCAUCUGAGU
rnacentral:rRNA from 1 species